UACAGAGGUCCCAAGCGUUGUUCGGAUUCACUGGGCGUAAAGGGUGCGCAGGUGGUCAGGCAAGUUUGAUGUGAAAUCUCCGGGCUUAACCCGGAAACUGCAUUGAAAACUGCCUGGCUUGAGGGUUGGAGGGGGGACUGGAAUUCUCGGUGUAGCAGUGAAAUGCGUAGAUAUCGAGAGGAACACCAGUGGCGAAGGCGAGUCCCUGGACAACACCUGACACUGAGGCACGAAAGCCGGGGGAGCAAAC
rnacentral:rRNA from 1 species